UAAGGAAUAUUGCUCAAUGGGAGAAAUCCUGAAGCAGCAACGCCGCGUGGAGGAUGAAGGGUCUAUGACUUGUAAACUCCUGUAAAGAAGGAAAAAAUUCCCAUUUGAUGGGAGAUGAUGGUACUUCUGGAGUAAGCCCCGGCUAACUACGUGCCAGCAGCCGCGGUAAUACGUAGGGGGCAAGCGUUGUCCGGAUUUACUGGGUGUGAAGGGUGCUCAGGCGGAUUUGUAAGUCAGAGGUGAAAUCUUACAGCUUAACUGUGAAACUGCCUUUGAUACUGCAAGCCCAAAGUAUGGAAGAGAGUGAUGGAAUAUCUGAUGUAGCAGUGAAAUGCGUAGAUAUCAGAUAGAACACCAAUGGCGAAGGCAGUCACUUGGUCCAUUACUGACGCUAAAGCACGAAAGCGUGGGUAGCAAACA
rnacentral:rRNA from 1 species